GCAAGGCUGUACAGAUGGUUGCACCAAAGGAGAAUUUACUGUCUCUUGAUCACCAGAUCAACAUGGAGCGGCGCGCUUUCAAAACCCAAAGAGUAUCACCCCAAAAUCAGAAGACAUUGCAUCUUCAGCAGUACUGUCAGGAGAUGCAGGAUGGAGUGAUAAGAGCUCAGCACCACAACAGGCAGCUGCUGCAGCAGUUUGAGGAAGCUCAGAGCACGCUGAGGGAAAUGGCAACGCUCACCGCUGCCAUGACAACCACUCGGAUGGAGUACGAACAGCAUCUGGUGGGCAUUCCACGAUGGAGGCAACAACUCCAGGAAAACACACAGGAGACGAGACAGCUACACAACCCAGGAGACAGAACAAGUUCCUCUCCAGAUCCACCUUUACCUUCUCGGCCCAGCUGUGAUGGCUCCUUUCAUUCCCUGCACAUUCAGCCUUCCUGGGUGAUGCACCCCAGAAAUCCUCACCAUCUCCAGGACUCCUCACAUGGUCCACAUUUCUCCUCUACUCCGCUCCAACCCCACCAUUGGGCCUCAGGGCUUAGCCAUCAUCAGUUCCUGCCCGGCCACAACGAGCCUGAACAACCCUGGUUCUGGUCCGCUGCUGUGGCCGGAAUCCCUUCUGACUCCGAGGCUCGGUUCUUUAAGACAGAGCCUCCUGCUGAGAGCUGGCAGCAUUCCCAGACGAGCAGCGGUCCGAAUUCAUACAGAAAGAGUGUUGGCAGCAGGAACAGUCGUUCAGCUCAGGAGCUGGAUACCCAACCAGUUCGUCUGUCCUGCUCUGCAGAGAGCAGCGACGGCACCACAGGGUCCAAUCAGCUGAGCAGGAAGAAGAGAGGAAAGCCAAAACGCAGCUCCGACAGAGACCACGGCUCUCCAGAUUCCCAGGCCGACAGCGUUGUCAGGACAGGAGUGAAAACGGCCCAAAGCUCAGGGAGCGUUGCCUCGUCAGAGGAGAGCAGAUCCAGCAUGAAAGGUGCAGGACCUGACGGUGCACUGCUGAAGGUGAAGAAUGGAGUCAAAGAAAGGAACAAUAGAAAGAAAGAAGACAGUCAGUCUAGUAGUGAGGAAUCCAGGUGUGAUCAAACAGGCAGGGAGGAAUCAGGAACCAUGAGGGAAAAUUCUGGGAGUGUUCAUUUAAAGAUUAAAACUGAAUGUUUAAGCAAUAGAUCUGAGGGGGAAAAUGAGGAAGUGAAGGAUGAUGGGAGCCAGGGGGAAGAACCAGAAGAGAAUGAUGUAGAGGUCGAGAGUGAUGAAAAUGAUGCAAGAGAUGAAGAGGAACAAGAGAGGAAAGAGGAGCACGUUUCAAGUAGGAACAAGACAACCGAUGAAGAAGAGAAGGAUGUGGGAGCAGAGGAAGAGAUGGAGGAGCAAGAGUCAGAGGCGUCCGAUGGGAUGGAGGACGAAGACAACAGGAAACUGGAUUCGGCAUCUUCUCAGGAUGAAGUGGAGAAAAAUAAGAAUGAAAUGAGCGAAGUUUUAAGCAAGGAGGAUGAAGAGUCAGAUGAAGAUAACAAAAGCCAAGACUCUUCCUAUGAUGGGGAAGAGGUGGCACAGGAGGAGAAAGGAGAGGAAGCAUCACAGAGGGAGGACGAGAGCGACUCGGACGAUUGUAUCGUCUCCCUACAGAAGUCUAAAAUGCUGCACAUUAUUCCUGAGGAGGCCCCAGAAGAUGAGGAGGCCCCAGAAGAUGAGGAGGACCCAGAAGAUGAGGAGGACCCAGAAGAUGAGGAGGAGGAGGCUCAGUCUGGAAGCUCUGAGGAAGGUUCAGACGAGCUCAGUGAAGACGACAUGGAGGAUCUGGGGGCGCCUCCACAAUCACCAAAAACACAAGAAAAGGAGAUAAAACCAGAGCAGAACCCUAAAGGAUCUUAUGACAGAAUGGAGAUUUUCCAGGUGGAGAGUGAAGAGGGAUCGGCACACGGGGAUCACCCGACUGAUUCCGACGAGUUUGAUCACUUCUUUGACUAA
ensembl:lncRNA